UUGCACAUGUGGAUAAUUAGGAAAAAUAUCUGGCUUUUCAUCUCCUGUUUUUACAACCCUUUUGAAUACCAUGAGCAAAGAGUUACUUAUUGGAAUAAGUAUUAACAGUGUGAGCACUGAUAAGCUUGCAUUUGGAAGUGGGACCACUCUCACAGUCGAACCAAACAUUCAAAAAAGUUCUAACCCACAAGUCAUUGUGAUGAAAUCAAAGAAUCUGGAAGGAGAUGGCAGCUUUGGGAAAGCAGCUUGUUUGGCAAGGAAUGUCAAUACAAAGACCAUCAGCUUGGAGAUGCCCUCUAAUGCGGUUGUAUAUGAACAGAGCACACCCAUUUUGACAUCAGUGGGGUUAUAUGAUACUAUUAAGGUGGUCAAUGUGACAAAGGACACAGAGGUGACCUGCACGGCCCAAUUCAACGGCAUCACUACUACAGUCAACGCAUCUUUGCCAGAAAAGGAGCCUGAGGAACCAGUAACACGGAAGGUUUGCAACACCACAGACACCUCUGAACAAGAUACCAACGUGGAGAAAGCGAACAUGUUGUCUAUGGCUGUGUUGGGUUUGAGAGUCCUGCUGGCAAAAAGUAUCGCCUUCAAUACGCUCAUGAGUAUCAAGUUGUUUCUUUUCUGAGGCAGUGGGGAAGCAAGACAACAGCAAUCUGAAGAACAGCAGGAGAGAGCGUGUACCAGCAGCACAAUGGGUUGAACAGCCGAUGUCAUAUCUGCUGACAGUAACCAUCCAGAAUAUAACACAGCACCUUCCCCUUAAGACGUUUUAUAUUGUUGAAUCCUGCCUAGCUAGUUUAUUUGAAGAGUUGUAACUUCUUUUGCUAUUUCUUUUUCUCUGUGAAUGGAGGAGACUGUAUUUUUCCUCAUAAGAGGAAAAGUAGAGAUUAAUCUCCCCACUCUUCUAGCCUUUGCAUAGAAGCAUCCAACCUGCUUCAGCAGUCUUGAAAAAUCCAGUCCUCACUGUAGAUAUAUGACCUGUUUAGAACACCUUUUACAGGCAUGUUGCAUUACUGUCUGGAUUGAUGUACUACU